rnacentral:rRNA from 1 species
CAGCCGCCGCGGUAAUACGGGGGGUGCAAGCGUUACUCGGAAUCACUGGGCGUAAAGCGCUUGUAGGUUGCUUACUGUAGUUUGUUGUUAAAAUUUAAGGCUUAACCUUAAGAAAGCAAUGGAAACUGAUAGGCUAGAGUAUGGGAUGGGUAAAGGGAAUUUCUAGUGGAGUGGUGAAAUGCGUAGAUAUUAGAAGGAACACCAGAGGCGAAGGCGCUUUACUAGAACAUUACUGACUCUCAGAGGCGAAAGCUAGGGGAGCAAAAGGGAUUAGAUA